rnacentral:lncRNA from 1 species
CGCGUAACACUUGAUAGUAAUAUUAAUAUUGGGAUAUUUUUUUGAUCCUCUUAAAAAUUUACAAACUAAAAACAAAACAAAAUAUAUGUAUAUAUAGAAUGUGAACAUUGAGUUUUCAAUUUCUAGAGAGAUUAUAAAAUAAACCCCUGUCUAUGAAAUAUGAAACUAAUACAUUUCAUUCACAUAUAAAAUUCUGUAAAACAUUAUUUAUAAGUAAUCCAUCCAUAACUAAACAGAUAGGAGGAUAAAAAAAUGAUAUAUAGAUAUAAUAAAACAUUCGUUUAGCUUGAAGCUCCUCGUUGAAGGAACCAUUUAUUUUCUCAUAAACUUUAUGAGCCAUCGAUUUAGAAAAAUAAAAACUUUUGCCCUGGAGGCGGCUUGACCUUGACAUGAUUCCUGGCCUCGACUUCUGUCACGAUCAUCGUUACCAUCAUCAUUACGAUGAUGAAGGAUGCAAUCAGGGUUUUCUUUUCGAUAGCCAUUGUUUAUUAAGCUCUUAAAUGGUUCUUGUUCUUGUUUUUUGUUUUUUAA